AGAUUGAACGCUGGCGGCAGGCCUAACACAUGCAAGUCGAGCGGUAGAGAGGUGCUUGCAUCUCUUGAGAGCGGCGGACGGGUGAGUAAUGCCUAGGAAUCUGCCUAGUGGUGGGGGAUAACGUUCGGAAACGGACGCUAAUACCGCAUACGUCCUACGGGGGAAAGCGGGGGACCUUCGGGCCUCGCGCCAUUAGAUGAGCCUAGGUCGAUUAGCUAGUUGGUGAGGUAAUGGCUCACCAAGGCGACGAUCCGUAACUGGUCUGAGAGGAUGAUCAGUCACACUGGAACUGAGACACGG
rnacentral:rRNA from 1 species